rnacentral:tRNA from 1 species
GCGCGGGUGGCGGAAUGGUAGACGCUCUAGUCUCAGAAGCUAGUGGGGUAAAACCCGUGUGAGUUCGAGUCUCAUCUCGCGCA